GAACGUCUUCAAGAUCAAGUCUCUCAUUUCAAAGCGGAAGUAGAUAAACUUCAGUCAAUAUCGAUCUAUUGUGGUUCUAAAAUGGACACCUACAUAAAUCAUCUACAAGAACAAAUAACUCAAGAUGAGAAAUGUAUGGAUGUUGUAUACUUGUCCUUGGCUGGUCUAAAACAGGUUCGUGACAUCUUGAAAGGAACUUUAACUUUUCAUGGCUCAACAGGAUUCCGAAUUCAGUUAACAUCGACACGGCUAUUACAUCUCUUACACCCAACACAAAAACCUCGAGUGAUAAUA